CGGUGAGAGGCGGGAAUGGCCCCUCUCCUCCCCUCAGGGGCGGUGAGAGGCGGGAAUGGCUCCUCUCCUCCCCUCAGGGGCGGUGUGAGGCGGGAAUGGCUCCUCUCCUCCCCUCAGGGGCGGUGAGAGGCGGGAAUGGCUCCUCUCCUCCCCUCAGGGGCGGUGUGAGGCGGGAAUGGCUCCUCUCCUCCCCUCAGGGGCGGUGUGAGGUGGGAAUGGCCCCUCCCCUCCCCUCAGGGGCGGUGUGAGGCGGGAAUGGCUCCUCUCCUCCCCUCAGGGGCGGUGUGAGGUGGGAAUGGCCCCUCCCCUCCCCUCAGGGGCGGUGUGAGGCGGGAAUGGCUCCUCUCCUCCCCUCAGGGGCGGUGUGAGGUGGGAAUGGCUCCUCCCUUCAGGGGCGGUGUGAGGCGGGAAUGGCUCCUCUCCUCCCCUCAGGGGCAGCGAGAGGCGGGAAUGGCCCCUCUCCUCCGCUCAGGAUAGCGUGUCCCUGCCAGCAAAGAGGUGUGGAAGGCCCCCAGUGUUGUCUUUUCUGGAAAAGAAAAAGAGAAUGCAAAGUCUUGAUAGAAGAAGGGGGAAAACAAGGAUUUAUGUUUGGGAAGGGAAAUCACAUUGACCGGUGGCUGACACUUAAGGAAAAGUUGGAUUUCAGAAACGAUGCAGAAGUUGCAGGGUUUUUACUGAAUAUGUAUGACAGCUAUGAUCUGCUGUCAAAAGCUCCGCUCUAUCCCCUCUCUGAGGGUGUGAGAAGGAUCACUGGGAAGGAAGAAAGCAUUGUCAGCCAGCACUCCUUUAAUAGCAGCAGAUGAAACGUAUGACGAUGACCAGCUGCCUAAAGAAUCUGCUCGUUCUGGAUUCAGAGAUGUGAGAAUUGUAACUGUGAAAGAGGAGCAAGAGAUGCUGGGGGCCUGCAUAUUGACAAGGACAGAUGACACAUUAGUGAUACUGUGUUUUUUUGCAUGUUUCUCAUUUGAAAGUAUUUUGAAUUGAUUUUAUUAUCACACUUAAUUUUGUUUAUUAGAAACUGAUAUCAUUCAUGCUCUGCUUCAUUAUCUAAAAGCACCUUGGUACAUAAUUGAUGGGCCAGUCCUUCUGAGGCAAGAAUCUGAAAGAGAUAUUGGAAAAGUUGUAAAAUACCUGAGUACAAGCAGCAAACCAGUGACUGCCUUCCUUAAUUGUGUACAGGGUUCAUGAGUGAGCAAGGGAGUACCGAGUACUUUACAUGUGUCCCCAUCAGCAGUUGGGCUUUUACAGCAGUGCAGUCUCCAGGCAAGUGCAACUGCAGAUGCUUUAACCUUCCUCAAAAGAAAGAUGUUUCAUUGUUGACCAAGUGAUGGUUGCACACCAAAGGAUGUGUUAAACAAUCUAAAAAUAGUGCUGUGCUCAGCAAGGCCACCCCACCAUGCACUGCUGGUGUCUGUUCCUGCAGUGUCUUCAGUAGCUGGGGCAUUCCCAAUUGAGAUCAGAGGAGCCUCCAAUAGCUUGUCCAUUACUUUUUCUUUAGGUUUUGAUCAUCCACAACAGUCUUACUGAAUAAUUCUCCAUGUCUUAGAUUUCUGACUUUUAAAAAACUGUAUCUUUUAAUGUGUACAAGGAGACACAGAGGCCACAGGACAUUGCUUUGGCAUUGCAUGAUGUGUCCAAACCCAUGUUUGUCUGAUUCUCAUCAUCCACUGUGGCUUUCCUUGUGACUUCCUAAUUGUUCUUACUUUUGGUUUUAGUAGGUGAACGAGUUGGGGCUCAGAAAGCAAUUCUAUGGCAAAGAAGAAUUCUUGGAAGUUAGGUCAGGAGCAAAUAAAUACCAGUGCUGAUGAAGCUGAAAAAUUCAAGUACAUUCUUCAAAAUAAUAUUUUUCUCUGGCACUAUAAUUUUAGUUUGGAGUGCAGCAGUAACUGAAUCUCUGGGACUGAUUUGAUACAGGGUGAGCAGCAAGAAGAAAAUCAAGCUCUUGCAUAACAAUACAGGGGCAGUUUUUACUCCAUUUUCAUUUUGUUAUGAGGUUAUUGUGAACUGUAAAGAAUUACUGUAAGUUGUGUGAAAUUCCAUGUUGUGUUGAACAGCACAUUAAACUUAAUUACCUAAA